GUGGUCAAGUGUUUAAGAGCAGUCGGUGGAUGCCUUGGCAUCAGGAGCCGAAGAAGGACGUGGUAGCCUGCGAUAAGCCUCGGGGAGUUGGCAAACAAGCUGUGAUCCGAGGGUGUCCGAAUGGGGAAACCCCGCACAAGUCAUGUUGUGUGACCCGCACCUGAAUAUAUAGGGUGUGUGGAGGGAACGCCGGGAAGUGAAACAUCUCAGUACCGGCAGGAAGAGAUAUUCCGUGAGUAGUGGCGAGCGAAAGCGGAUGAGGCUAAACCGUGCGCAUGUUCAAGCCGGCAGGCGUUGUGUGUGCGGUGUUGUGGGACCUUCUGACAGUCGCUGCCGUGACUGUAGGGAGUGAGAAAAUCGUGUCGUAGUCGAACGGUCUUGAAUGGCCGACCGUAGAGGGUGGUAGUCCUGUAGACGAAACGGCAUGGUCUCCUUGGAGUGUUCCCGAGUAGCACGGGGCCCGUGAAAUCCCGUGUGAAUCUGGCAAGACCACUUGCUAAGCCUAAAUACUACCUGAUGACCGAUAGCGGACAAGUACCGUGAGGGAAAGGUGAAAAGUACCCCGGGAGGGGAGUGAAAUAGUACCUGAAACCGGCUGCUUACAAUCCGUCGGAGCCUCCUUAGCAGGGGUGACGGCGUGCCUUUUGAAGAAUGAGCCUGCGAGUUAGUGGUACGUGGCGAGGUUAACCCGUGUGGGGAAGCCGUAGCGAAAGCGAGUCCGAAUAGGGCGUUUCAGUCGCGUGCUCUAGACCCGAAGCGGAGUGAUCUACCCAUGGGCAGGUUGAAGCACUGGUAAGACAGUGUGGAGGACCGAACCCACCAGGGUUGAAAACCUGGGGGAUGACCUGUGGGUAGGGGUGAAAGGCCAAUCAAACUCCGUGAUAGCUGGUUCUCCCCGAAAUGCAUAUAGGUGCAGCGUUGCGUGUUCCUUGCCGGAGGUAGAGCUACUGGAUGGCCGAUGGGCCCUACCAGGUUACUGACGUCAGCCAAACUCCGAAUGCCGGUAAGCCAAGCGCAGCAGUGAGACUGUGGGGGAUAAGCUUCAUAGUCGAGAGGGAAACAGCCCAGAACACCAGCUAAGGCCCCUAAGCGUGUGCUAAGUGGGAAAGGAUGUGGAGUUGCCCAGACAACCAGGAGGUUGGCUUAGAAGCAGCCACCCUUGAAAGAGUGCGUAAUAGCUCACUGGUCAAGUGAUUCCGCGCCGAUAAUGUAGCGGGGCUCAAGCACACCGCCGAAGCUGUGUCAUGCGAACUUUGCUAAGCCUUCGUGGUUCAGGCGUUCGCAUGGGUAGGGGAGCGUCGUGUGGGCAGUGAAGCCGCGGAGUGAUCCAGUGGUGGAGCCUACACGAGUGAGAAUGCAGGCAUGAGUAGCGAAAGACGGGUGAGAAACCCGUCCGCCGAAUGACCAAGGGUUCCAGGGCCAGGUUAAUCCGCCCUGGGUAAGUCGGGACCUAAGGCGAGGCCGACAGGCGUAGUCGAUGGACAACGGGUUGAUAUUCCCGUACCGGCGAAGGACCGCCCAUACCGAGCUCAGGUGUACUAACCACCCAAACCGUGCCCAUAGGGUUCCUUCGGGAGCCCACCGGGCACGGGGCGCGUGGGACCUCGCCUGGUAGUAGGUAAGCGUAUUAACAGGGGUGACGCAUGAAGGUAGCCAGUUGGAGCGAUGGUUGUCUCCUUCCAAGCCCGUAGGAGGUUUCCCAGGCAAAUCCGGGAAACAUGUACUCCGAGAGGUGAUGGUGACCACGUAUGUGGGAAUAUGGUGAUCCUAUGGUGCCAAGAAAAACCUCGACGCGAGGGACUAGCCGCCCGUACCCUAAACCGACUCAGGUGGUCAGGUAGAGAAUACUAAGGCGAUCGAGUGAAUCGUGGUUAAGGAACUCGGCAAAAUGCCCCCGUAACUUCGGGAGAAGGGGGGCCCGGACCGUGACACCCACUUGCUGGGUAGAGCGGGCAAGGGCCGCAGAGACCAGGGAGAAGCGACUGUUUACUAAAAACACAGGUCCGUGCGAAGUCGCAAGACGAUGUAUACGGACUGACGCCUGCCCGGUGCUGGAAGGUUAAGAGGACCGGUUAGAGCCUUCGGGUUCGAAGCUGAGAAUUUAAGCCCCAGUAAACGGCGGUGGUAACUAUAACCAUCCUAAGGUAGCGAAAUUCCUUGUCGGGUAAGUUCCGACCUGCACGAAUGGCGUAACGACUUCUCCGCUGUCUCAACCGCGAACUCGGCGAAAUUGCACUACGAGUAAAGAUGCUCGUUACGCGCAGCAGGACGGAAAGACCCCGGGACCUUUACUAUAGCUUGGUAUUGGUGUUCGGAGCGGCUUGUGUAGGAUAGGUGGGAGACUGUGAAGCAGCCACGCCAGUGGUUGUGGAGUCGUCCUUGAAAUACCACUCUGGUCGCUUUGGACAUCUAACUUCGGACCGUAAUCCGGUUCAGGGACAGUGCCUGGUGGGUAGUUUAACUGGGGCGGUUGCCUCCCAAAAUGUAACGGAGGCGCCCAAAGGUUCCCUCAGCCUGGUUGGCAAUCAGGUGUUGAGUGUAAGUGCACAAGGGAGCUUGACUGUGAGACCGACAGGUCGAACAGGGACGAAAGUCGGGACUAGUGAUCCGGCGGUGGCUUGUGGAAGCGCCGUCGCUCAUCGGAUAAAAGGUACCCCGGGGAUAACAGGCUGAUCUUGCCCAAGAGUCCAUAUCGACGGCAUGGUUUGGCACCUCGAUGUCGGCUCGUCGCAUCCUGGGGCUGGAGUCGGUCCCAAGGGUUGGGCUGUUCGCCCAUUAAAGCGGCACGCGAGCUGGGUUUAGAACGUCGUGAGACAGUUCGGUCCCUAUCCGCUGCGCGCGCAGGAAACUUGAGAAGUGCUGUCCUUAGUACGAGAGGACCGGGACGGACUAACCUCUGGUGUGCCAGUUGUUCCGCCAGGAGCACUGCUGGUUAGCUACGUUGGGAAGGGAUAACCGCUGAAAGCAUCUAAGCGGGAAGCCUACUUCAAGAUGAGGUUUCCAUCACCCCUUUGAGGGUGGAGAGGCCCCCAGUAGACCACUGGGUUGAUAGGCCGGAAGUGGAAGCAGGGACUAAAGACCUGUGGAGCUGACCGGUACUAAUAGGCCGACCACUUACCCA
rnacentral:rRNA from 1 species